rnacentral:rRNA from 1 species
GACGAACCGUACGAACGUUAUUCGGAAUCACUGGGCUUAAAGGGUGCGUAGGCUGCGCAGCAAGUUGGGUGUGAAAUCCCUCGGCUUAACCGAGGAACUGCGCCCAAAACUGCUGUGCUCGAGGGAGAUAGAGGUGAGCGGAACUUAGGGUGGAGCGGUGAAAUGCGUUGAUAUCCUAAGGAACACCGGUGGCGAAAGCGGCUACACUGGAUCUCUUCUGACGCUGAGGCACGAAAGC